rnacentral:rRNA from 1 species
AACGAACGCUGGCGGCAUGCCUAACACAUGCAAGUCGAACGAGACCUUCGGGUCUAGUGGCGCACGGGUGCGUAACGCGUGGGAAUCUGCCCUUGGGUUCGGAAUAACAGUUAGAAAUGACUGCUAAUACCGGAUAAUGUCUUCGGACCAAAGAUUUAUCGCCCAGGGAUGAGCCCGCGUAGGAUUAGCUAGUUGGUGAGGUAAAGGCUCACCAAGGCGACGAUCCUUAGCUGGUCUGAGAGGAUGAUCAGCCACACUGGGACUGAGAUACGGCCCAGACUCCUACGGGAGGCAGCAGUGGGAAUAUUGGACAAUGGGGGCAACCCUGAUCCAGCAAUGCCGCGUGAGUGAUGAAGGCCUUAGGGUUGUAAAGCUCUUUUGCCAGGGAAGAUGAUGACUGUACCUGGAGAAUAAGCCCCGGCUAACUUCGUGCCAGCAGCCGCGGUAAU